rnacentral:lncRNA from 1 species
AACAGACGUCCAUGGACGAUCCAUCUCCGAAUCCACGGAGACUCGACUCAGAGGGACCCAUAGAAAUGGACCAAACAUCGCAUAACAUCUCAAAGUCUCAAAGCCGUCCACCCAGGAUGAUUCGUUGGGGUUGUUUUGCCAAGUAUCCAAAAUUACUCCUCAAUGUCAAUGAUAACAUAUUGUAAUAAUACCACUCUCGAAUACUAACAUAGCAUAGCAUUUGACUACCUACGUUGGCGAUUGGUGGUAAGGGCAUGGCAGGUGUAUCCUAUACUACUAGGAGAUUCAUAGCUAGCAUAGGUACCAUAAUAUUUCUAACAAUGCAACUAAUAAAACAUCUAGUGCAUAGUAAAAUAAUAGGUGGAAUGAUCAAAAUGAACUUGCCUUUCUCACGGUAGUUUGAGUUCAAACACUCGUCACAGUCACAAGGUUCGGUCUCCGAGAAAACUAUACGAGACAAACAAAAAUACACAUGCAUAAACACACAAUUCACAUCACGACAAAAUAAGAUAUGCUAUGAUGUGAUGCUUAACAUGUAACAUGAUUUGGUUUAUUUUAUUUGGGUGAUCAACUGGUUCUAAGCAUUGAUAAUUAAAAUUAACGCAUUAGGUCUAAAAAAAAAAUCAAAAACUAGGGAUUAAAACCCUAUAUUAAAGUUUUAUUGGCAUCAGCCGAAUAAUUCAAUUCAAAAUAUUUAUUUCUCUGUCACCAUGGACAGAGGAUAAUAAAAAAAAAAUUUGAGCACUGGUUUCAUUUAAAAAGGACCUCUAGAUAAUUAGUUAUGAUUUAAAUGGCAUAAAACCCUAUCCUGUAAUUGGAAUGUGAUUUAAAUAUUCAAAUUUGAAAUUGGACAGUGCCAAAAGAUUCUACAUUUCCUAAGGAUUCCAAAAAGGUGUGGAUCAUUAAAUUUGGCCAAACAGAUUAAAAGAUAUGAUCAUUUGAAGUUACAGGGGCUUUUCUGCAAAAGUGCCAUUUCUAAUUAUUCCGGGAUUAAAAUUUUAUUCUCGUUUUAUUUAGGCAGUGACACGUGGAGGCUCCUGAUUGGUUGAUACCGGUUCGGUUAAGUGAAUAAAAAAUAGAUCUAAUCUCAGCCGUUGGAGAUGGAUGGACGG